UUCACUCCCUCCCAACACUUUGUCAAAUUUCCCACGACUCAUAUUGACUGCAAUUUUCAUUCCCAAACCUAACCAUCACGACACCCGUCCAGCAACCGACCUCCUCUUCCUCCUUCUCCGCCUCCGACCACUCUCCUCCUCCUUCUCCGCCUCCUUCUCUCCAGUCCAGUCGAAGCCGGAGCUGCGUUCACCAUUCUCCUUUCUCUCUCCGUGGGCUUCCCCUCUCAGCCAUUCUCUUCGACCGUCGAGGCGUCGACGACCUUCGCUCUCCUCCACUGUAAGUGGGUAAGAAGUUGUUUGGGUUUUGACUUUGAACAUCUCCAUGAUUUGAACAUCUUCAAUCGAUCUAUCUCUCAUGAAUAUCUCCUUGAUUUUCUGCGUUUUCAGACUAACAGCCUCAAACUCGAUCUUGGUUGCUCGCAGCAAAUACUAAAAUGAAAUCGAUUUCAUGGUUUUAAUGAUUAUUUGAUAGAAAGAAGUUGAAUUUAUAUUAAAGAAUAAUACUUUAGGUUCCUGUAUUGUUCUUUUGGAUUCAGGAAUGUGAUGUCCUCAUCCCUUCUGCUUUGGGUGGAGUUCUUAAUAGGGAUAAUACUUCAUCAGUGAGAAGCUGAAAACUUUCUGGGUUCGAUUUCUGAUUCUUCAAAGUCCGUGUCUUGGCAUGCUAGUUGCUGCAACUUCUGGAACUGGAUUUGUUCUUGGAAGUGGCAAUGCCGUCGAUUUUGCUGGACUUUGUUGGAUAUGUGUUGGUACCAUGAUGUUUGCAGCAUCUGCUAACUCUUUAAAUCAGGUGUUCGAGAAGUAUAAUGAUGCCAAACUGAAGAGAACGAUGCAAAGACCCCUACCUUCAGGACGCAUUACUAGGCCUCAUGCAAUUGCCUGGGCAUUUACUGCUGGCUUAGCUGGCACUGCUUUGUUGGCAAGCAAGGUUGUUGCAGGCUAAUAUGCUGGCAGCUGGUCUUGAUGCUUCCAAUUUAAUACUUUAUGCAUUUCUGUAUACUCCAUUAAAGCAAAUUCACCCAGUAAAUACAUGGGUUGGCGCUGUUGUUGGUGCUAUCCCACCACUUCUAGGGUUGGGUACUGACGGGAUUGUUAACAUCUGAUUUGGAGGUUCUCUUAAAAAUGUUGUGAGCGAAAACAUUUCAAAGGACUGCGGAUUCAGGACACUUACCGAGGCAAGUAACUCUACACCAAGCACAGGUACAUUCUCGAUUCUCAACAAAUACUUUCCCCAGCUGGGACCUUAUUAGCCACAAUGGAGAAAUCAAUACCCUUAGAGGAAAUGUUAACUGGAUGAAGGCACGUGAGGGACUACUAAAGUGUACUAACUUGGUUUAUCAAAAAAUGAGUUAAAGAAGCUGUUACCAAUUGUGGAUGCCAGUUCAUCCGAUUCUGGUAAAUUAGAGCACUUUCUGUUGCAUGCACAUAAUUUAUUGAAAUUAUAUUGAUGAGAACUAGUAUAUGACCCUUAUGGAAAUAGAAGGAAUUGGUUAUUUUAUUCAUAUCUAAUGUGCAUAAAUUUAAUUUUUCCUUUAUCUGUAUUCCCUUUAUGUUUUUAGCAUAGUGAGAACCACAUUUGAAAAGAGCUAUUAAAGUCUUAACAAGUGUAAUUUGUUUGAACUAGCUUCUCAAAAGAUUUUACUAUUCAUAAGGCACACGACAUACUUCUGUUAUGACUCCUCCUCAGAUUCUUUUGGAUGCCUUAAGAAAGGCAUUCUUGACCAUAGAAGCAGUAUGCUUGAUGGUUAUGGAUGAGUGCCAUCGGGCUACCGGAAGCCACCCUUAUACAAAGAUAAUGAAGGAAUUUAUCACAGGUCUAGUACUCUAGUAUGAAGCCAAAAGUUUUUGGAACGACGGCUUCACUGUACUUCGGAAAGAACAAUACCGCUAAAAUUUACGGAUUAGGUGUCUCAUCCACAAUGGACUGUGAAGAUCAAAUAUCUGAACUUGAAAGCAUUUGAUUCCCAGUGGGCGGCAAAGAGUCGGAACUCAUAUACCCAAGAGCAACUUGAUGAGGUGCGCAUUGAAGCGGCUGACUACUUGCAGACGUUGCUAUAGCUAGAUCUUGAUAAGCAAUAUAAUUUUGAGUAAGGCUAGAUUUUGCUGACCAUUUUGUAGUAGAUGUAGUAAUAUCAUGAUGAAUUGUGAACAAAUUAUACUGCAUGUAGUUAUUGCAGUAGUGGUAUCUUCUACACUAGCCUUAAAGUAGGUUAGGGUUUAUUGUGCAAAACUUUUGAAACUACCUCAAGCUCUAAUUUUGGAUAGAAAUUAAUACAAUUCCCUAAUAUUUAAAUUACAUUUGAA